UACGUAGGGCGCAAGCGUUGUCCGGAAUUAUUGGGCGUAAAGAGCUCGUAGGCGGUCUGUCGCGUCUGGUGUGAAAUCCCAUGGCUCAACUGUGGGCUUGCAUCGGGUACGGGCAGACUAGAGUGCUGUAGGGGAGACUGGAAUUCCUGGUGUAGCGGUGGAAUGCGCAGAUAUCAGGAGGAACACCGAUGGCGAAGGCAGGUCUCUGGGCAGUUACUGACGCUGAGGAGCGAAAGCAUGGGGAGCGAACAGG
rnacentral:ncRNA from 4 species